UAUAAUUUAGCCUCAUUGGUUAAAUUAUUUGUGGGCAUAGAAAGGCUGACUUAACGUUUUCUCGUGAGGGACGGGAAUCGUCGAACGUUAAGGCCGCACGGUUCUAGUUUGUUCGGGUGUAACGAAACCAGGCCCGUGACAAGUGGUAUCAGAGCAAGGUUCACAUGGGGUUGAACCAAUUUUUCAUCUCAGAGGUGAGGUGAUAUCCGUGUAAGGUUCACGUGGUGUGGAC
rnacentral:lncRNA from 1 species